GUAAGUAAAAGUCGUAACAAGGUCUCCGUUGGUGAACCAGCGGAGGGAUCAUUACCGAGUUUACAACUCCCAAACCCCAUGUGAACCUUACCAAACGUUGCUUCGGCGGGAUGCCCCGGGCGCGGGCCGCAAGGCCUCAGCCCUGGAACCAGGCGCCCGCCGGAGGCCCAAACCAAACUCUUGUUUUUGUAGAAUCUUCUAAGUGGCCUUUUAGGCAAAAAAUGAAUCAAAACUUUCAACAACGGAUCUCUUGGUUCUG
rnacentral:misc_RNA from 1 species